AUGUUAAGAUUUUCUUUAAUGACUUCUUGCACACUCCUCUGUGUUCUCAUGUUUUUUCAACAGGAACAAGAGAACUGUUGGAAAUGUUCUUGGGCAGGGAAAGAUCCUGUGCAAUUGUGUUUCACACAUAGAGGUAUUUUUCUGUAUGAGGUAACAUUUCCUGCGAUAGAAGAGAAUGAGAGAAAAAAAGUGAGGAGAAAACUCACUGAGAGACUUCACUGUAGCAAAUCUGUCAAAGGUAGGCCUACUCCACGAUGUGGGGGAAUUGAGGGGAAUUCCACAGACAUUCCAUUCUGUUCCAAACACUUCACAGCUCGGUUUAGCAGCACAGGAAAACACACACGGAGUCAAGGUUAUAUCACUCUCCCUCUUCCACGUAUUUUUUCCUUGGAAGAUGAGAAAGAGAGCGUCAAAGAGGAGGAAAGCCUGGCCUCUACAUGUCAAGAAGACUACAAAGUGCACACUCACAAUUGUCCUAAUGCCAAAAGUAAUGCCUGGGCAGAUCUUAUCAAUCAAAGCAGAACAGAAGAGAGGAAAACUCUAGUCAAACAAGAGAAGAUGAGAAUGGCUCUUAUCAUUGUUUACUGUAAGCACAGAACACUCCAGAGUUCUCCGAGGGCUCUUUGUGACAUCACAACUCCAAGUUCUGGAUUUGGUUCUAUAUGGAGUCAACUUUGUUGACAGUUAAGAGUUUAAAGUGCCUGAUCUGAAUGUCUUUGAUGCCACAGAUCUUUGUUGCUGCUCAGAUUCACGGUGGUUUGUAUUUCAGAAGCUCCUGUGAGCAUCGUGUCUCUUGGAAGAUAAACAUGCCGGUCUGUGAUUGAUCAUUUUCUGAUUGUUCUCAUAUAAACUUAAAAUGUGGCAGCUUAGUUGCAUCAUGCCAAAAGAACACUGUGAUGUCAUGAUUGAAAUAACCUGGUACCUUGCUAACACAUCUGGAGGGUCAAUUUCUUCUGUGCUCCAAGCAGAAUCCAUAAAGAAAUUAUUUAAAGAUUCUGGCAUGGAAGAACCUUUUAAAGCUUUGACCUGAAUCCCUGUGAAUAGUGUGAUCCUGGACUCAUCACCCAACAUCACCACCUAAUCUCCCUGAUGCUCUCGUGUUUGAAUGCUAGCAAACCCACAGCUGUGUUCUGACAUGCAGUGAAAAGCCUUCCCAGAAGUGAGGAAGCUGUUAUAGCAGCAAAAUGAUGGUUUCAGGAUGAUGGUUUUGAAUGAAAAUUUUCAAUAAGCACGAAUGGGUGUGGUGUAAGGAGUCCACACACUUUCAUUUAGUGUAUACUGGAAAACAUAUCGAUGUUAUGAUAUAAUUCACCAUUCAUCCGGAAAAUAUAAUAUGAUGUGCCUUGCUUUAAUCACACUUUUUUAAAAACACUGUGACUGCUUAAUAGGCUAUUUGUCUCUAGUUUUUAUUUUAAGACUCAAAUUUCCCAUUGGACAUUAAUUUAAAAUAUUUAUAUAGAAUAUUGAAAUUUCACAUAUUCAUGGUGUAGGAUUUACUUUGAACUAUUUUAGACUGUUUUUAUUUCAUUUUUUUUUUUAACAAUGAAACUAUUUUUAAUAAGAAAUU
ensembl:lncRNA